rnacentral:antisense_RNA from 1 species
CUUGACCGAGCCCAGCCACAGCGGCGGUCGCCCGUCGCGGUCCUGCCCGUAGGUGUUGAGCAGCGCCUGCGCCUC